rnacentral:lncRNA from 1 species
GAAUCAUUUUCUGAUUAAUAUUUCUAUACAUUUUCUCUAAGAUUAGGAGAAAGCAUAACUUGUUCCUAAAGGAUUAUAAAGAGUGAUUACUAUAAAUUUUGAAUAAUUCUAGAUCACUCUACAUUCUUGAUAUCAUAAAGUUUCAGUUUUAUUCACGUUUAUCAUUAAAAUCUGAAAUUCAACCAAAGGAAAGAAUGAUUAAAGAGGAAUGCAUCUUUUGAGGGGGAGCUUUAGAUAUCUUAUCCUAAAGUUACUUUAAUUUGAUGCAUACCUUGAUUUUUAUGGAUUGAUUUUUAUGAACCUCCUUAUAUGGCAA